CAAGAAUGAGGAUGACAGAGACAGAAAUGGACCAGGGUCAGAGUUCUUUAGCAUUCUUUCUCUUUAUCCCAAUUGUUAUUUCCUGAGAAAGUACAAAGGUUUUCUGUUUCUUAAAUCUGAAAGAACAAAUAGGCUGUAGGAUGGGAGAGACUGUGGCACAGAAUAAAGGGAAAAGGCCUUAGAGUUAGAUGUGUCUCAAUUAAAACUUGUGCAAGCUACUAAUUUUUCUAGCCCCAGGUCUCCUUACUGUAUAAUGGGGAUAAUAAUACCUACCCUCAUUAUGUUGUCAUGGGGGUUAAACAAUAAUAUAUAAAGUCAUAAUCCAGCCCAGUGCCAGACACAUUUUGGCACCCAAUAAGCAGUGCUGUUAAUGUGAUUUAAGGAUAUGGACUGGGGACUCCUUUAUGCACUAGGGUCUUUGAGAAGGAGGGAUGAGAUUCAGCACCCUGUGGCCUCUACUCUCCAUCUGAAAUACAUUAUCAUCAUUAUCAUCACUUCCAAGUCUUAAAUUAUGUAAAACACAUCCCUGUGGUGCAAAUACUAAGCAAAUAGUAAUGAUGUCACUUUGGCAAAGAAUUUAAAUAUCAAUGCAAAUGGACAGUACUUGGGAAGGCAGCCACUUUUAUCUCAUCACUGCAGCAAUCCCCUCCAGAAGAUUUAGACAUCAAAACCACAAUGGUAGCAGACACACAGAGACCCUUCUCUCUUGCCAUUCCAGCAAGGGUAGCUCUCCUCCCUUUUGGAUCUUCUCCCUUGUUAUGCAUCUCAAAGAGAAGUUAUAUUUCACAAUAACCCUGUCCUCUCAUAGACAAGCUAGAAUUGUGCACACAGGCAAGUCAGAGCGUGAACGUAGCACAUAUGCAAGGUGCCACAUCUAAGUGGCAGGCAGCUUACAGCCCUGCAUGCUGAUUCUUGGCAACACCUUUGGGGAA